ensembl:lncRNA
CCCCGUAGUUGACUUGCCUCGUGCCAGUGGUGUGUCCCUAGGAGUGUAGUCUGGGGUUGCUGUUCACUAGCCAGCCCUUAGUAUGCUGGCUGUUUCCUAAGGCCACAUCCCCACUCUGCACACACGAUCUUGUGACCUGGUGCACGCCUCUGUAACACGUCACUUUAUGGGUAUUGAUUUCUUGCCUUUCUCUCUCUUGAGAUCAUGAACCUCUUAAAAGAAAGGGAAGCCAGCGCGUAGAAGUUCCUGGCUUGGGCAUCACCUUCACCCAGUUGCUCAUGUAAGAAAUCGAGGAGUCACCGCGGAUUCUUCUCUCCCCCUUACUCUUUAGGUCAUCAAAACCUGUCAAUUUCAUCACCUUAAUAGGCCUUAAAUCCAACCAUCCUUGCCCAUUCUCAUUGUUACCACACUGGUGCAGACCACAGGUGUGAAUCACCUGGACUGGAAUCAAAAGGAGACGUUUCCCCCACCCCCUACCCCCACCCAGUUCCAAGCACAGAGACUGACAUGAUAGAUGUGGAGGAAAUGUUGGCUAAAUCAUGAAUCAGAGAAAGGAAGGAAAGACACAUGAACUGUUACCAACUACUGUCUCCUGGAAAAGCCAGGCUAGACGCAAGAGGGAGAUGAGGGACUCUUCAAAUAUUAAGACCUCGGAUGAGACGUUUCAUAACAUCCCUCUGCUGCAAGACUCAUCGCCAGUAACUUCAUUAUCUAAGCUGGAUCCCAACUGCCACAGUAUGAACCUGUUUUCGCUGGCUCUGUCCUUAAGGAAGAAUAACUCAUCCCAUUUCUUCUGUAUGAGGCCGAAGCAGCUAUGGGGAUUAUACAGCCUUUGUCCAAAGCCUGGUUCCAAUCCAGGUUGGAGACCUGAAUCCAUUUGCUGCGAGGAGAGCUGCUCCAGGGCUGGCUUUCUAUGCCAGAUAAUUAGCAGAAAAACAAAACUGAAUUUGAGGUUUGGGCUCAGCUUCCGAUGUCUUUACGGUAGCCGUGUAUGUCAGCUGUUCACAUACUCUGCCCCUCCAUUCUUUUCUGGGCAGGUUCCCCAAUCCUUUGCAGUCUUUUCCUUUUCCCCAAAUCUGGGAAGAAAGGAGAUAGAAAUACAGUAAGAGAUGCCGAGAGUCUCAAAGCCCCACCCUUGUGAAGUGAAUACUCUUCUCUCUUUGUUUCCACACCAGAACGUGAUCUGACAUGUUUUGCUGAUGCUAGAUCCUAGAACUGUGGGGAAGGGAAAGGAAGCCUUGACAGAAUGCAUUGUUUGACCUUCCUGGUUUUUUUACCCACUACCAAGGGAAAAAGAAAAAGAGGUGUCUUCAGUUUCAUAAUCAUCUCUCUCUGUCUGGACUAGCUUAGAAGCCUUGGAAGGUGCCAGAUAUUUUUGUAGGAAUGUGGCCUUCUGUUUGGAGAGGAAAACUCUGCACAUGUUGGCCGCAGAGACCCCUCAUUGCACUGGGGAAGUUGUGUCAAUUCUGCUGAAGGGAAGCCAGCUGGCCAAGGCUCUGGGCCUCCUUGGGUGGUGAGGGUGGCUAUGCCAGUGGUGGUGAUGACGGGGG